rnacentral:rRNA from 1 species
GACGAACGCUGGCGGCGUGCUUAACACAUGCAAGUCGAACGGAAAGGCCCUGCUUUUGUGGGGUGCUCGAGUGGCGAACGGGUGAGUAACACGUGAGUAACCUGCCCUUGACUUUGGGAUAACUUCAGGAAACUGGGGCUAAUACCGGAUAGGAGCUCCUGCUGCAUGGUGGGGGUUGGAAAGUUUCGGCGGUUGGGGAUGGACUCGCGGCUUAUCAGCUUGUUGGUGGGGUAGUGGCUUACCAAGGUUUUGACGGGUAGCCGGCCUGAGAGGGUGACCGGCCACAUUGGGACUGGGAUACGGCCCAGACUCCUACGGGGGGCAGCGGUGGGGAAUAUUGCACAAUGGGCGGAAGCCUGAUGCAGCAACGCCGCGUGCGGGAUGACGGCCUUCGGGUUGUAAACCGCUUUCGCCUGUGACGAAGCGUGAGUGACGGUAAUGGGUAAAGAAGCACCGGCUAACUACGUG